rnacentral:rRNA from 1 species
GCUCAGAAUGAACGCUGGCGGCGUGCCUAACACAUGCAAGUCGGAUGUGCCGCAAGGUGCAUGGCAGACGGGUGAGUAACGCGUAGGGAAUCUACCUCUUUGUGGGGAAUAACGCUCCGAAAGGAGUGGUAAUACCGCAUGAGACCGAUGUCUGGGAUGACAUCGGUGAAACCUGGGGACCGCAAGGCCUGGGGCAAGGAGAGGAUCCUGCGUCUGAUUAGCUAGUUGGCGGGGUAAUGGCCCACCAAGGCGACGAUCAGUAGCCGGCCUGAGAGGGUGAUCGGCCACACUGGAACUGAGACACGGUCCAGACUCCUACGGGAGGCAGCAGUGGGGAAUUUUGCGCAAUGGACGAAAGUCUGACGCAGCAACGCCGCGUGGGUGAUGAAGGUCUUCGGACUGUAAAACCCUGUCGUCAGGGACGAAGGUUGAGGGGUUAAUAACCCUUUAGCUUGACGGUACCUGGAGAGGAAGCCCCGGCUAACUCUGUGCCAGCAGCCGCGGUAAUACAGAGGGGGCAAGCGUUAUUCGGAAUUAUUGGGCGUGAAGGGCGCGUAGGCGGUUUUUUAAGUCAGAUGUGUAAUCCCCGAGCUUAACUUGGGAACUGCAUCUGAGACUGGAAGGCUAGAGUACUGGAGAGGGUGGUGGAAUUCCUCGUGUAGCGGUGAAAUGCGUAGAGAUGAGGAGGAACACCAGUGGCGAAGGCGGCCACCUGGACAGUAACUGACGCUGAGGCGCGAAAGUGUGGGUAGCAAACAGGAUUAGAUACCCUGGUAGUCCACGCUGUAAACGAUGAACACUUGGUGUGGAGGGAGUUGACCCCUUCCGUGCCGGAGCUAACGCGUUAAGUGUUCCGCCUGGGGAGUACGGUCGCCAGGCUGAAACU